GCCCAUAUAGCUCAGUCGGUAGAGCACUCCCUUGGUAAGGGAGAGGUCACCGGUUCGAAUCCGGUUAUGGGCUCCA
rnacentral:tRNA from 1 species